UACGUAGGGGGCUAGCGUUGUCCGGAAUCAUUGGGCGUAAAGCGCGUGUAGGCGGUUCGGUAAGUCCGCUGUGAAAGUCGGGGGCUCAACCCUCGGAUGCCGGUGGAUACUGUCGGACUAGAGUACGGAAGAGGCGAGUGGAAUCCUGGUGUAGCGGUGAAAUGCGCAGAUAUCAGGAGGAACACCGAUUGCGAAGGCAGCUCGCUGGGACGUUACUGACGCUGAGACGCGAAAGCGUGGGGAGCAAACAGG
rnacentral:rRNA from 1 species